AACAACAACAACAACAAAAUUCUAAUUAAGGUCACCCUUAAAUAUGUCCCGGCUGACAGUGGCACUGCUACACUGCACAUCAAUUUUCCUUGCACUGUAGCCAGGAUGGCAAAACACGCACCCUCCAAAGUCAACACAGGCAGUUUGGACAAUGCCCAAGAACCCAUAUGUUGGGCUUACUCCAGCAAGGCUAGGCAGAAAUGGCCAGCUCACAGCCAAAAGCUGUAUUGCCACAACACGGAUAAGCAUGGAGCCAGCCUGGGCAAGCUGUUGUGAAAGGCAUCGAUUCUAUGUCACCCAUACAAAUUCGGUGAGCAACGCUGAGUUUCCCCUGCCCGUAGGAUUAGGCUGUAUAUGGAAAUGAGAGCCAGCAUGGGAGCAGGGAGAAGAGAACGAGGGGAAAGUCACACCCCAUAAUUUUAAGCCUCGAAAAGUAGGGAUUCGGUCCAAGCUAAUUGUUUAAGUUCACUUUAUAUUUAACAGAGAAAGAAACUCAUUGCCAGAAUGGAAUUUCUCUCAUCUUGAAUUAGGUGGGAUAUGAGUUCCUCCCCAUGUUUCUCUGUUAAAAAGAAAGGAAACCGAGAAAAUUAGUUCAGUCCAAACACUUUGAUUAAUGCUAACAUCAGGUAAGAUGAAUCCUACCCUAAAUCUAUCCAGGUGAGAGUGACAAAGCCAGGAGGAGAAUGCAGGAGGGCAGCUUCAUUUCCUCAUGCCCUGACACACUGUCUCCUCUUUCUGCCACCUUUUCUCAUGGUGAUCAUCACCCAGCGCCUCGAGGAACCAAACCAGCUCCUGACACCGGGAUGACUGGGUUACCAGAACAGAAUAACCGUAUGAAUCCAGAGACAGCCAAGUCUGACGACUGAAACUCAACUGCUACUUGUUUGAAAGUUCGUCCAGAUCUGGCCCUCAGGUUCUCAUCCCCCUGAGGCCGGUACACACGCCUUGCUCACUGCGUGCACGGGGCUAACAGCGCUCCUGGUCUGUCUGCAUUAGCCACCACGACUGAAUCCCUGUUGCCAUAGAUACUGCUACAGUAACAUUAUAGUUUCCACAAAGAUGCUUCAGCAAUUUACUCUGGUGAUUAAACUGCAGCCAUUUAUUGCACAGAAUAAAUAACAGGGCAACGGUGAAUUAUGGGGCUACGACUCCAUCGAUGGGUCCCGGUGACAUCAUAAACCACAAGAACCAAGCUCGAGUCAUCAGAACUCCCGAGAUGGAAUUAUAAGCUCCAUCAUUCAAAUU